rnacentral:rRNA from 1 species
GUGGGGAAUAUUGCACAAUGGGGCAAACCCUGAUGCAGCGACGCCGCGUGAGUGAAGAAGUGUUUCGGUACGUAAAGCUCUAUCAGCAAGGAAGAAAAUGACGGUACUUGACUAAGAAGCCCCGGCUAACUACGUGCCAGCAGCCGCGGUAAUACGUAGGGGGCAAGCGUUAUCCGGAUUUACUGGGUGUAAAGGGAGCGUAGACGGUAUGGUAAGUCAGAUGUGAAAGCGCGGGGCUCAACCCCGGGACUGCAUUUGAAACUAUCAGACUAGAGUGCAGGAGAGGUAAGUGGAAUUCCUAGGGUAGCGGUGAAAUGCGUAGAUAUUAGGAGGAACCCCAGUGGCGAAGGCGGCUUUCUGGACGGUGUCGGACACUGAGGCGCGAAAGCCAGGGGAGCGAACGGGAUUAGAUACCCCGGUAGUCC